rnacentral:rRNA from 1 species
UACGUAGGGGGCAAGCGUUAUCCGGAUUUACUGGGUGUAAAGGGAGCGUAGACGGUGUGGUAAGUCAGGUGUGAAAGCCCGGGGCUCAACCCCGGGAUUGCACUUGAAACUAUCAUGCUAGAGUGCAGGAGAGGUAAGUGGAAUUCCUAGUGUAGCGGUGAAAUGCGUAGAUAUUAGGAGGAACACCAGUGGCGAAGGCGACUUACUGGACUGUAACUGACGCUGAGUCACGAAAGCUAGGGGAGCAAAC